UAACGAUACGGGACUCAUCCGAGGCCCCGUAAUCGGAAUGAGUACACUUUAAAUCCUUUAACGAGGACCCAUUGGAGGGCAAGUCUGGUGCCAGCAGCCGCGGUAAUUCCAGCUCCAAUAGCGUAUAUUAAAGUUGUUGCGGUUAAAAAGCUCGUAGUUGAAUCUGUGUGCCACGCUGUUGGUUCAUCGCUCGCGAUGUUUAACUGACAUGAUUGUGGGACGUCCUACCGGUGGGCUUAGCUCCUCACGGGGCGGUCCAGCUAAUAUCCCAUCGCGGUGCUCUUCACCGAGUGUCGCUGUGGGCCGGUACGUUUACUUUGAACAAAUUAGAGUGCUCAAAGCAGGCUAUGUUCGCCUGAAUAUAUUUGCAUGGAAUAAUGGAAUAGGACCUCGGUUCUAUUUUGUUGGUUUUCGGAACCCCGAGGUAAUGAUUAAUAGGGACAGAUGGGGGCAUUCGUAUUGCGACGUUAGAGGUGAAAUUCUUGGAUCGUCGCAAGACGGACAGAAGCGAAAGCAUUUGCCAAAAAUGUUUUCAUUAAUCAAGAACGAAAGUUAGAGGUUCGAAGGCGAUCAGAUACCGCCCUAGUUCUAACCAUAAACGAUGCCAGCUAGCGAUCCGCCGAAGUUCCUCCGAUGACUCGGCGGGCAGCUUCCGGGAAACCAAAGCUUUUGGGUUCCGGGGGAAGUAUGGUUGCAAAGCUGAAACUUAANGGAAUUGACGGAAGGGCACCACCAGGAGUGGAGCCUGCGGCUUAAUUUGACUCAACAC
rnacentral:rRNA from 1 species